UACGGAGGGUGCAAGCGUUGUUCGGAAUCACUGGGCGUAAAGGGCGCGUAGGCGGUUUGUUAAGUCGGCUGUGAAAGCCCGGGGCUCAACCCCGGAGGGUCGGCCGAUACUGGCGAACUAGAGUACGGAAGAGGUAGCUGGAAUUCCCGGUGUAGCGGCGAAAUGCGUAGAUAUCGGGAGGAACACCUGAGGCGAAGGCGGGCUACUGGGCCGAUACUGACGCUGAUGCGCGAAAGCCAGGGGAGCGAACGGG
rnacentral:rRNA from 1 species